rnacentral:rRNA from 1 species
GACGAACGCUGGCGGCGUGCUUAACACAUGCAAGUCGAACGGAAAGGCCCUGCUUUUGUGGGGUGCUCGAGUGGCGAACGGGUGAGUAACACGUGAGUAACCUGCCCUUCACUUUGGGAUAACUUCAGGAAACUGGGCCUAAUACCGGAUAGGAGCUCCUGCUGCAGGGUGGGGGGUGGAAAGUUUCGGCGGGUGGGGUUGGACUCGCGGCUUAUCAGCUUGUUGGUGGGGUAGUGGCUUACCAAGGCUGUGACGGGUCGCCGGCCUGAGAGGGUGACCGGCCACAUUGGGACUGCGAUACGGCCCAGACUCCUACGGGAGGCAGCAGUGGGGAAUAUUGCACAAUGGGCGGAAGCCUGAUGCAGCAACGCCGCGUGCGGGAUGACGGCCUUCGGGUUGUAAACCGCUUUAGCCUGUGACGAAGCGUGAGUGACGGUAAUGGGUAAAGAAGCACCGGCUAACUACGUG